rnacentral:tRNA from 1 species
GCGGGGGUGGUGGAAUUGGUAGACACGCCAGACUGAGGGUCUGGUGCCUUCGGGCGUGGAGGUUCGAGUCCUCUCCUCCGCA